rnacentral:misc_RNA from 1 species
UUUCCGUAGGUGAACCUGCGGAAGGAUCAUUCAUAAUAAAGUGUUUUAUGGCACUUUUUAAAAAUCCAUAUCCACCUUGUGUGCAAUGUUAGAUCUCGUCAAUCUUUGGCGAGAUUUUUAUACAUCAACUCAUUUUUUAACUAAUUUGUCUGAAAAAUAUUAUGAAUACUUAAUUCAAAAUACAACUUUCAACAACGGAUCUCUUGGCUCUC